UACAGAGGUCCCGAGCGUUGUUCGGAUUCACUGGGCGUAAAGCGUGCGCAGGCGGUUUUGUAAGCCAGAUGUGAAAGCCCCGGGCUUAACCUGGGAAUGGCAUUUGGGACUGCAAGGCUUGAGUGCGGCAGAGGAGACUGGAAUUCCUGGUGUAGCAGUGAAAUGCGUAGAUAUCAGGAGGAAUACCGAUGGCGAAGGCAGGUCUCUGGGCUGACACUGACGCUCAUGCACGAAAGCGUGGGGAGCAAACAGG
rnacentral:rRNA from 1 species